rnacentral:rRNA from 1 species
UUCCGGUUGAUCCUGCCGGACCCGACUGCUAUCAGAGUGGGACUAAGCCAUGCGAGUCAACAUAGCAAUAUGUGGCAUACGGCUCAGUAACACGUAGUCAACAUGCCCAGGGGACGUGGAUAACCUCGGGAAACUGAGGAUAAACCGCGAUAAGUCACUACUUCUGGAAUGGGUAAUGACUAAAAUCUACAUGGCCCCUGGAUUGGACUGCGGCCGAUCAGGCUGUUGGUGAGGUAAUGGCCCACCAAACCUGUAACCGGUACGGGCUCUGAGAGGAGGAGCCCGGAGAUGGGCACUGAGACAAGGGCCCAGGCCCUAUGGGGCGCAGCAGGCGCGAAACCUCUGCAAUAGGCGAAAGCCUGACAGGGUUACUCUGAGUGAUUUCCGUUAAGGAGAUCUUUUGGCACCUCUAAAAAUGGUGCAGAAUAAGGGGUGGGCAAGUCUGGUGUCAGCCGCCGCGGUAAUACCAGCACCCCGAGUGGUCGGGACGUUUAUUGGGCCUAAAGCAUCCGUAGCCGGUUCUACAAGUCUUCCGUUAAAUCCACCUGCUCAACAGAUGGGCCGCGGAAGAUACUAUAGAGCUAGGAGGCGGGAGAGGCAAGCGGUACUCGAUGGGUAGGGGUAAAAUCCGUUGAUCCAUUGAAGACCACCAGUGGCGAAGGCGGCUUGCCAGAACGCGCUCGACGGUGAGGGAUGAAAGCUGGGGGAGCAAACCGGAUUAGAUACCCGGGUAGUCCCAG